AUUCAUAUUUUAUUGUAUUAUUUCAAUAUUAAUUUUUUUUAUUUUCUUUACAGAAGCGAUUCCACUAGUCACCAUGAAUGAUGAAGAUAAUGAUGUAGAUCCAACUAUGGAGCCAUACAUAGUUGAUCUUGAUGAUUAAGGUAGCAGGUCAAUAAAGAAGAAGAAAGUCAUUUGAUUCUUUUGACGCAUCAAAAGUGGAGUGCUAUGUUGCAUAUGAUAGUUUUAUUUUACUUUGUUCUCUUGAGAAACUCUCAAAAGUGGAGUGCUAUGUUGCAUAUGAUAGUUUUAUUUUACUUUGUUCUCUUGAGAAACCCUUAUUAUACUUGGCGAAUUCUUGAUUUAAAUGAUGAUAUAAUGAUAUGAUUUAAUACAA